AAGUCGAGCGGUAGAGAGAAGCUUGCUUCUCUUGAGAGCGGCGGACGGGUGAGUAAUGCCUAGGAAUCUGCCUAGUGGUGGGGGAUAACGUUCGGAAACGGACGCUAAUACCGCAUACGUCCUACGGGAGAAAGCGGGGGACCUUCGGGCCUCGCGCCAUUAGAUGAGCCUAGGUCGGAUUAGCUAGUUGGUGAGGUAACGGCUCACCAAGGCGACGAUCCGUAACUGGUCUGAGAGGAUGAUCAGUCACACUGGAACUGAGACACGGUCCAGACUCCUACGGGAGGCAGCAGUGGGGAAUAUUGGACAAUGGGCGAAAGCCUGAUCCAGCCAUGCCGCGUGUGUGAAGAAGGUCUUCGGAUUGUAAAGCACUUUAAGUUGGGAGGAAGGGUAGUAACUUAAUACGUUGCUACUUUGACGUUACCGACAGAAUAAGCACCGGCUAACUUCGUGCCAGCAGCCGCGGUAAUACGAAGGGUGCAAGCGUUAAUCGGAAUUACUGGGCGUAAAGCGCGCGUAGGUGGUUCAGUAAGUUGGAUGUGAAAGCCCCGGGCUCAACCUGGGAACUGCAUCCAAAACUGCUGAGCUAGAGUACGGUAGAGGGUGGUGGAAUUUCCUGUGUAGCGGUGAAAUGCGUAGAUAUAGGAAGGAACACCAGUGGCGAAGGCGACCACCUGGACUGAUACUGACACUGAGGUGCGAAAGCGUGGGGAGCAAACAGGAUUA
rnacentral:rRNA from 2 species